GUCUGUACAUGUGUGUCGUCUGUUUCUUUUUCUGUGUCAUCUUUGAACAACUAUGGGUUUCCUCAUGUGCACUGUGGCUGUACAAUCUGUUUUCCAUUAGAAAUCCCUAAAUAACAUUUCAGAUAUUAUGUGAUGUGGUUUGGAAAUGCUUUUUGAAACUUUUUUUUAACACUGAAAUUUAACUUUUGCAUCACUACUGGUACCAGAAAUGGAAGUCUUUAUUAAAAAGCCCGUUGUUUCUCAGGAUGUUUUGUUGACAUGGUAUUUGACUUGCAGCUUGACAGAGGAAACAAAGUGAUUACAGAAGUUUAAUGGGAUUUGACACAAGAUCCCUCGGCCUGUUUUUGCAAAACGCUGGAUUAUAAUCGACGACUCAAAAGUCACUGUUACUGUUUUGUCCCCCGUGGUGAGGAAGAGGAGGAGGAGGAGGAGGAGGAGGCUGCGAAAUGGAAUCCACAUGCCAGCGAGGUUCUGUUGUUUGUCAGGGUCACCGUGUAUGACAGAGACAGAUGAGGCAGGAGGAACCUGUUCCACCGUCCACUGGGGAAUCACUCACUCACAUAUAAACAAAUACACACUGUCUCUAGCCGUUAUCUCGCAUGGGACUCAUUUCUGCCAAACCCAUCAGGGCUGAAUGUUUGUGAGACAGGAGACUAGAGGGAGGACAACGGUUUAGCUGAAGACACAAGCCCAAAGAAUGAACUGUGCUUGAAGUUUUCUUAAUAAACUACUGAUCAUUUA